AAUAGGAGAAUGACAACUCAUAUUUUUCAUCCUAAUUUUUAGCUUUUUCCUCCUGAAAAAAAUUCAAAUCCAACUAAAAGUGCUAAAAAUUAGGAAGAAAAAUCUAAUUUGUCAUUUUCUUAUU
rfam:Gossypium arboreum cultivar AKA8401 contig_40893_1, whole genome shotgun sequence.